GGAGGGUCAUUGGAAACUGGGAGACUUGAGUGCAGAAGAGGAGAGUGGAAUUCCAUGUGUAGCGGUGAAAUGCGUAGAUAUAUGGAGGAACACCAGUGGCGAAGGCGGCUCUCUGGUCUGUAACUGACGCUGAGGCUCGAAAGCGUGGGGAGCGAACAGGAUUAGAUACCCUGGUAGUCCACGCCGUAAACGAUGAGUGCUAAGUGUUGGAGGGUUUCCGCCCUUCAGUGCUGCAGCAAACGCAUUAAGCACUCCGCCUGGGGAGUACGACCGCAAGGUUGAAACUCAAAGGAAUUGACGGGGGCCCGCACAAGCGGUGGAGCAUGUGGUUUAAUUCGAAGCAACGCGAAGAACCUUACCAGGUCUUGACAUCCUUUGACCACUCUAGAGAUAGAGCUUCCCCUUCGGGGGCAAAGUGACAGGUGGUGCAUGGUUGUCSUCAGCUCGUGUCGUGAGAUGUUGGGUUAAGUCCCGCAACGAGCGCAACCCUUAUUGUUAGUUGCCAUCAUUUAGUUGGGCACUCUAGCGAGACUGCCCGGUGACAAACCGGAGGAAGGUGGGGAUGACGUCAAAUCAUCAUGCCCCUUAUGACCUGGGCUACACACGUGCUACAAUGGGAAGUACAACGAGUUGC
rnacentral:rRNA from 1 species